UGUUCUAUGAAUUUUAUUUUUUGGCGCAGAGAUAUUAAUUAUUAUUUAGUUUUAUUUUUCCACUUAAAAGUAAUGACUACACUGUGCAACACAUUUUUCUAACGGAAAAACUUUCAACUCAGUUCGAUUGUACUAAAAGGGUUUUGCAAAGUUAGCUAGCUUUUAAAAGAUAUUGGCGUUCAAAAUUUGGACCUUGCAUUUAAAAAAAAAAAAUCCAGUAAAUCGCUUACGUCGCGCUCUAUUACUUCCCCUACUCGUUCUACAUACGUCUUCAUACUCCACCAUAAAAUUUUCGCUAAUAUUGCCUCAGGAGAUUGCUUUCCUCUAUACCUGAUCAAAUGAAGUUUAUUAAAAGGUUGUUUGAAGAAGGGAAAAAAAAAACAAUUUCAUAGGUGCGAGAGGUAUAUAAAGCUCGGUUUCGCCAGAGCUUAGACAUCGUUACUGGUUAGUUUUAAGAUUGUAAAAAACGAAUAAUGUUCGUAAAUGGCUCUGUGUAUGAGUGUCGCUCUCAGCUGUUUUAUGUACAUAUUUUUUAACAAUAACAAAAUUAAAAAUUUAUAUGUCUCUUUAUAUGCGCUGCUGUUUUCCAGACAUAAUGAUAGCCCUUUGCGUUGGUUCUUUAGUGGAAGUGGUUUUUAGGUGGCGGGUCCCAAACUCAGAACAAACCCUUGCUGGGAGAAUGGUAGCUCCUCUAUUUUAAUGCAUAUUAAAAAAUUAGUUAAUUCUAUUGAAGUAAAACACACACGUUUACAUACGUAUAGGUAUUUUAAUAAUAAAGAAAUAUUCAGUAACAACGGAAUGGCUACUGCUUUCUUACAGCUAAUCUUUUGAGCAAUUUCGCGGCGACAUUCGUACCUGGCGGCGUGUUGUGGUUUUGCUACGCCAGACAUCCAGAGUCAUAUGAUAUGCGCAAGUAUAUAUAUAUAUAUAUAUGUAUGUGUUUUUAAAUACCACCAGACAUAAUUUUUUAUCACAGAAUCAACAAUCUGCGUUAUCGCUUGCUAAACAAUACAAAUUGCCUUUCCAUCACUUACUUAGUUCAACAUUUUGGGUGCAUUCCACAACAUCAAAAUACAAAGCAUCAGUCUCUUUUAUUUCUAAAUCUCAGUAGAUGUAAUGCCAAAUGUGCGCAACGACGGCUAGAUGCUAGUUUUCAACUUGGUUGCGCAGGUUAGACUUUUUUCUAGUGCGGUUUAUAAAUAAAAGAGACUAAUGCUUUGUAUUUUGAUGUUUUGGAACGCAGCCUUUCAUACAAUUCUUAUAGCUAGAUUGUUAUAGAUAUUCAAUUAAAUUAGGUAGGAAAUAACUUUGUUCCAAAAAUAAUACGCACACCAGCUGCGACAUGUAUACAACUUGUUUUUUCGUUACAAUUUAUAAUUACAAAUUAAAGCAAAAUAAGUACUUAUUUAUACAUAAGAUUAUAAAAAUUACUGCCUAAGAGUAAAAAGUUGCUAAGUCCACUUUUUUUGUAUUAUUGUAUAUUUUGAUGCAAAAGCAAGAACAAUAAAAAUGCUAAAGGUUUGAUUAUGGAAACUUAACGUAACUCAGAUAUUCUAUUAAAUGCAUGUUGAUAACAUUUGGACAGGCGGAACUUAAAUUCUAACUUAGGUUAAGUUAAGUUAAGUUGCCAUAAUCAGAGUUUAACUAUUUAAUUUCCAACCGUUUAGAUUCAGCUAUGUACAUUUGUUAUUCCAAGUGACAAGUCACAAGGAAUAUAAAGCUACAACUUCGUUUUAAAAUUUUUGCAAAAUAAGUGCUUCAAAAAAUUGGUUUGUAAGGUUUUUUCUCCUGUACAAUUUAAAAAACUGGACUUAGCAACUUUUUUCUCUAAGCUAGCGAUAUGUACAUUUGUAUGUACUUGCAUGUGGUUGCACAAGAGCGGCGCAUGUGCAGAAAUUGUUUACAUAAAGCAAGCAAAACAUUACAUUGCUAAAUUAAAAGCGAAAAUCCAUGAUACAUACAUAUUUCCUAUACACACAUGCAUCCAUCUAUUUAGGUGUACAUAUGCACAUAUAAUAAACAUAAUCAUAGUACAUACAUAAAUAUAUAUAGUAUGCGAAUUAUAUU